rnacentral:rRNA from 1 species
GCAGGCUGCAACCCGCCUGCAUGAAGUCGGAAUUGCUAGUAAUCGCGGAUCAGCAUGCCGCGGUGAAUACGUUCCCGGGCCUUGUACACACCGCCCGUCACACCAUGGGAGCCGGUAAUACCCGAAGUCAGUAGUCCAACCUCGUGAGGACGCUGCCGAAGGUAGGAUUGGCGACUGGGGUGAAGUCGUAACAAGGUAAC